rnacentral:rRNA from 1 species
UACGUAGGUGGCAAGCGUUGUCCGGAUUUACUGGGCGUAAAGAGCGCGCAGGCGGUCGGAUAAGUCGAAUGUGAAAGCCCCCGGCUCAACUGGGGAGGGUCACGCGAUACUGCUCGACUUGAAGGCAGGAGAGGGAAGUGGAAUUCCCGGUGUAGUGGUGAAAUGCGUAGAUAUCGGGAGGAACACCAGUGGCGAAGGCGACUUCCUGGCCUGUUCUUGACGCUGAGGCGCGAAAGCUAGGGUAGCAAACGGG